UACGAAGGUGGCAAGCGUUACUCGGAAUUACUAGGCGUAAAGGGCAGGUAGGUGGUUUGGUUAGUCUGUUGUGAGAGCUCCUUGCUUAACGGGGAGAGGUCAACAGAUACUGCCAGACUUGAGUAUGGGAGAGGUUACUGGAAUUCCUGGUGUAGCGGUGAAAUGCGCAGAGAUCAGGAGGAACACCGAUGGCGAAAGCAGGUAACUGGACCAUUACUGGCACUCAGCUGCGAAAGCUAGGGGAGCAAACAGG
rnacentral:rRNA from 1 species